GACGAACGCUGGCGGCGUGCUUAACACAUGCAAGUCGAGCGGUAAGGCCCUUUCGGGGGUACACGAGCGGCGAACGGGUGAGUAACACGUGGGUGACCUGCCUUUAGCUCUGGGAUAAGCCUGGGAAACCGGGUCUAAUACCGGAUAUGACUCCGCGGCGCAUGUUGUGGGGUGGAAAGCCUUGUGCGGCUGGAGAUGGGCCCGCGGCCUAUCAGCUUGUUGGUGGGGUGAUGGCCUACCAAGGCGACGACGGGUAGCCGGCCUGAGAGGGCGACCGGCCACACUGGGACUGAGACACGGCCCAGACUCCUACGGGAGGCAGCAGUGGGGAAUCUUGCGCAAUGGGACGAAAGCCUGACGCAGCGACGCCGCGUGAGGGAUGACGGCCUUCGGUU
rnacentral:rRNA from 1 species